rnacentral:rRNA from 1 species
AUUGAACGCUGGCGGCAGGCCUAACACAUGCAAGUCGAGCGAGUGGCAGACGGGCGAGUAAUGUAUGGGGACUGCCCGCUAGAGGGGGAUAACUACUGGAAACGGUGGCUAAUACCGCAUACUAUCGUAUCACCCAUAUGGGAUUAGCUAGUAGGUGGGGUAAAGGCUCAAGUAGGACACGAUCGCUAGCUGGUCUGAGAGGAUGAUCGACCACCUGGGGUCUGAGCACCGGCCCAGCCUCCAACGGAGGCAGCAGUGGGGAAUAUUGCACAAUGGGGGCAAGCCUGAUGCAGCCAUGCCGCGUGUAUGAAGAAGGCCUUAGGGUUUUAAAGUACUUUCAGCGGGGAGGCGUUACCCGCAGAAGAAGCACCGGCUAACUCCGUGCCAGCAGCCGCGGUAAUUC